rnacentral:rRNA from 2 species
CGCGCAAACUCAGCAAUGCACGUAAGUGUGACUGGGGGAAUCUGAGUGGCACACUUCGGUGUGCCUUUUGUCAAGUUUAGCAAGCUUGGAGAAUAAGUGCUGGGUAAGACCGGUGGCAGCCGCCACGGUAAUACCGGCGGCACGAGUGGUGUCCGCGAUUAUUGGGCUUAAAGCGUCCGUAGCCGGUUAGAACCGUCUCAUGUGAAAUAUUGCCGCUUAACGGCAAUGCGUGCAUGAGAUACCUUCUGACUAGGGAGUGGGAGAGGUUGAGAGUACUUAUGGGGUAGGGGUUAAAUCCUGUAAUCCUAUAAGGACUACCUGUGGCGAAGGCGCUCAACCAGAACACGUCCGACGGUGAGUGACGAAGGCUAGGAGAACGAAUCGGAUUAGAUACCCGAGUAGCCCUAGCAGUAAAUGAUGCAGACUCUGGUGUUGCACUUGCUUCGGGCAUGUGCAGUACCGUAGGAAAGCUGUUAAGUCUGCCGCCUGGGGAGUACGGCCGCAAGGUUGAAACUUAAAGCAAUUGGCGGGGGAGCACAACAAGGGGUGGAUGCUACGGUUUAAUUGAAUUCAACGUCGGGAACAUUACCUGGAGCGACGGCAGGAUGAAGGUCAGGCUAAAGACCUUACUAGACAAGCCGAGAGGUGGUGCAUGGCGAUCGUCAGUUCGUGGUGUGAACUGUCAGGUUAAGUCCUAGAACGAACGAGACCCUCGCUGACAGUUGCCAAAAGCCCAGCGAUGGGCUGAGCACUCUGUUGGGACCGCCUUCGUUUAAGAAGGAGGAAGGAGAGGGCGACGGUACGUCAGUAUGCCCCGAAUCUCCAGGGCUACACGCGGCAUACAGAGGUUGGUACAAUGGGUUGCAACCUCGAGAGAGGAAGCUAAUCCCCUAAAACCAACCAAAGUUCGGAUUGAGGGUUGAGACUCACCCUCAUGAAGCUGGAAUCCCUAGUAAUCGCUUGUCACCAUCGAGCGGUGAAUGC